rnacentral:lncRNA from 1 species
GUAUAGAAAAAUAAAAGAAAAUAAAUAAAUAGAGAAUACAGACGCGCGCAUUAAACCCAAAUAUUGUACUUAUCUCGUGUGAAAACCUUUUAGAGUAGAUUAUCGUUACGUCAUUUGAAAGAUCCAAAAACAGAUUCGCCUACGUCAAAUAAACUCUCCUUGUGUCGUCACGUAUCUUUCGUGCGUGAUUAGAGUUACGGCGAUAAGAGAAAGAUGCGUUUAUUUAUCUGUCGCAUCAUCAAUUGUGCUAAAUACGUCACUCGAACACCUGAGAUCUCUUCGAGGCAUCGUAAGUUUUACUUAUUUCUUAGAAUCAUUAUCCUCUUUGUUUUUGAUUUUAAUUUGUUUUAUCUACUUUUCGAAGAUAACAAAUCUAAGAAUAUAAAACGUUACCAAAGGGAUUACGAGAUACGUACGUUGAGAGAUUAGGAUUGCAAAAAAAUUGUGUCAAAGUAAACGGAUGAGAUGAGAAUCGAGUAUAAUUCUCUAACCUGAUGAAAAAAUGAUCAUUCUUUUUAUUCCUUAUCUAUUCAAGGUGAAGACUACGUCUUAACGCGAGUAUAGGUAGUAAUAUUUGAAAGUGAUAUUUUAUUUUGGAGUUUUUUCGUAAGUCAAUCGUCGCUCGCUGAAAAUAUGAAUGAAUCCAAGCAACUUCGCAGAUUGUUCAUGAGUAACGCAAAAUUAUAUCUGACUAGUGAAUACAAAGUAUUAUUACAAAAUCUAAUCGUAUAUAUAUAUAUGCACAUUUCCUAAUGUUACGUCAACGAGAGUUAAAAAGCUGUUAUGAAGGCAGUAUUAUUUGAACAGAGUGGGGUGGGAUGGGAAUGUGGGGAGGAGGUAUGUACACACAUAGAAUGUGUUUUGCGUAUUUAUCAUAGAACACGUUUUAAGCGAGACUUAUGUUAGAUGAAAAUUCGAGGCCAGGGAAUUUAAAACAAACCUGUUGUCAUAUAUAUUUGCGACACACAUUUGUAUAAAUGUAUAUAGGUAGUUUGAAAUACUCUUAAGGUAACCGUGCACUUAGGUGUAUCUUGUUGCGGAUAAUCUUCAAAGUCUGAAAGAGCACUCGGCCUCCGGACGCAGUGGCGCAAUUCGUUCUCUCGGAACUUGAUACAUGACCUUGCUAGAACUCGGUUACACCGGAGGAGCGUACCACCGUAAAUGAUUUCAAUGACACCGGUGGAAAUAAUCGGACCUAGAGUAUAAUUUCGUUCGAGUCUCUCAUCGUACGUUCGAAUUGAGAGAGACGUGCAACCG